AAGGCGGAGAAUCAUCGACAGCGUAUGAUAUCCAUGAGGGCAAGACAAGCGAAUCCAGGGCCUAUCAACAUGAUUAAUACAUGAAGAGUUCAGAUGGAAAAGCCUCUAAGUGCCAUCUGAAAUUUUCUUCUAGAAUGAUCAUUUUUAUCAAGCUUGUUCAAUAAUUUCAGUUCAAUGACAAUGCAAAUGAUCUAUUAAUUGUCAUUUAUAUGAAAGUACUUAACUAUACAGGCUUUAUAAAAAUGAUCAUUCUAGAAGAAUUUCAGGCCAGGUCCAGACAUGAUCAAAGAGGUCAGCGCAGUGAUCUCUGCAGCCCCCCCAUGACAGGCAUGGUGAGUUGUCGCCUGCGUUCGCACUGCGCUCAAUUAGGAUUAUUUUGCUAUUCAGGUGGAGAUCCUAUCACCCUGGCUGCCUGUUACGCAGUGCACACAUUGCUUUGAUGAAAAUUGCGGCCUUAUUAAUUGUAAAAAAAAAAAAAACUUUAAAUAACUUGAUUUCUUGUUCAAAGUUUGCAGUUAGGCAAGUUUUCUAGUUGUACCUCUAAUCAUUAUAAUAUUGCAGAUUUAAUACUGAUCUUCUAAUAAAUCUGUUAAGUUGUCAAACAGAUUUUUUUGUGGUGCAGAUGCAGUGACAGAGGGGGAGAUUGCCAUGGGGUGGUAAGUACUGAUAUAUUGGCAGUGGA